rnacentral:lncRNA from 1 species
ACACUCACUACUAUGUCUUUACAUGCCUGAUUAACUUUAUGAUGACGACUCACACCUGACAUCCUGGGAACAUCCAUCACCAGGCUGGGUGCUUAAGUUUCUAGGGGUCAGGAGGCUGGGCUUGGCUUAACUGGGUCUUCUGCUCAGGAUUUCACAAGGCUGCAAUCAAGGAUACAGUGGACUCCUGUGUAAUGAAGAUCACCUACCCUUCCCGAAGAGCCCCAGUCAUAAUGGAAUUCAGCCACUCCCGAGUCUCACCAGUUUUCAUGGAAAUGGACACUUCACCUGCCCCUAAUUCUCCCUUAUUUGCCGCCACGUCUCUUCCUGGAUUUCUCUGCUGAUCCCCCUUUAUUUAUUUCCUGCCAUUACAAAGCAGCUCAGUGACCAAAACUGAACACAUGUGAGAUUCUAGGCUUAGUUCCCAGUGAAGACCCUCCAAGGACACAUUCCUGCAGCUUACAAUCUUGUCAGGAGCCAGCCUGACCUAAAGUCAAUGGCUCACACCCCACCACCACACCAUUGCCGGUGUUACUGUGCACAGGAAAUGCAAGCAUCUGAACGCACAUGGCUCCAGAGACAUAAGCAUAGCUGGGGGUCUCCGAGAGGCCCCGCCUAGGAUAAUUGCCUCCAUCUGCAGACUGCAGAUGAGCAGCCCUGCUGGAGGCUGCUGGCACCUUUCCAAACCCUUCCCCCAUCCUCUGCUCCAGAACACAUAGUUGACAAACAGCUCAUCGUGUUUGAAAAUGUCGCCGAUUGGUCUCAGUGGGAACCUGCAAGCCUCCUGUGGAUUUUCAUGUUUUAAUUCCAGAAGCAAACAGACAGAAACAAGAUCAGUUUUUCAGACCAAAGCUUUUGCUCUCAGGGGACAGAAUGGCUUGUUUAGGUCUUCCUGAGUCGAGGAGCGAUGUGGGCACGAGGGCCUCAAGAAUCGGUCCUUGGGAUAAGACCCUUGCCAAGGGCUUCUGGAUACAGGAUGGCAGCUCUGUGUCCAGUUUUGGGAUCUUGUUAAAGACCGAAGCCGGAGACCAAAGUAUUGCUCCCCUUGGACAAGUUAGAGAAUUGUAUCCAAUCCAGAAAAUACCCAGAGGGCCUACUAUGUGCCAAUUUGAGCCCUUGUUGACUUGGCAGAGUUAAUGAGUGGAAUCCUGGGUCUGACACUUCUUGGCAGUAUGUGCUGGGCCUCUGCUCUACUCUGCACCUCAGUUUCCUGGUCUGUUAAUUGAGAAUGUUAAUAGGGCAUGCAUCACAGGGCCCUUGGGAAGAUUAAAUGUGAAAGUGCAUGCCAAAUGCCCAGGACACAGCAGCCCUUGCUAUUGUGACCAUCCUCUUAAUCUACCAGGA